rnacentral:lncRNA from 1 species
UGGCAUGCCCUUUGGGAUUGAUGAGUACUACACUUGCUCUUCCGCUGUUCGAUGUAGAAGAGCCAUCAAAGUAGAGGGUCCAUGGUUCCUCUUCUGUAGCAAUGGCUACCAUUUUCGGUAGCUCGCCUAGAACUUCUUUGGAGAGGGUGGACUCUUGUACUUUAGGGAAUAGAGCCAACAUAUCAAUCAUGGCUUGUCCCUUGAUAGCCCUAGGAAUUGUGCAUGUGAUAUCAAACUAGGAUAGUUGUGGCAGCCAACAUGCAAGGCAUCCUGACAACAUCGGUCUCGUG